AUGCCCUUCUAUUGAAAAGCCAUCCUCCCGGUAUCAACCGAUAAAAUUUAGGUCUAUAUAGCCAUCUCUUUCAGGGUGAAGGGCGGAGGACGAAGACCUAAAAUGAAUUGGUAGGUGAUGGAAACAGUGAACCUGAUCCUCUGUGAUUUUGAAGUCGAUGAUAAAUCCUAGAGAAGUCAAUUUUGGUUACAGAAAUACUAUUUGGCAUGGCAAGUUUCAAGUUGAAGAGGAAUUGUAGGUCAAAUUGAGCUAGGUAUUGGACUCUGGAAAGCAGGUAAUUUAAGGAUGCAAACAAAUUGCUUGCUCAAAUGGCUGAAAGAGGUAUUUCUUAUUGACACUGAUUUGUUCCAUUAUUAUCCUUGUCUUUGUUCAUAGAAAAUGGAUCAGGUAAUUUAUUUAUUUUUAUAGAAAAUGAGAUCGUUGUGUUCUUAAUUUGAUUAUGAUAGAAGUUUCGUAUUAUAUGAGAUUAUUAGCUUAGGUUUUAAGUUUAGCAGGGCUUUCUCUAUUCCAGUGGUUUCCUAGUUUCAGGGGAUCUUCCCAGUGAUGUUACUUUUCUAUAUAAAGUGUUGGAAGUUGGAGUUGAUUUAAGGAUCACAACAUAUCACAUAAUAAUAUAUUUCGUUUGAUGGUAGGAAUAGCCUUUAUCCUCUUUACUACCAUUCGCAGGACCCUAUUAGUUUUUAGUUAUUGGUUGUUAUGAGAACAAUACUUAAGUGUUUGUAUUUCCAUUGAUGGUGCUUGCUUUUCAUGAUUCAUGCUAGUGUUGGUUUUGCUUGCAUCGUAGUAGUCCUGUCAUACUGCCGUAAUCUUACUUGGGUGAAGUGGAUCGGAAAAGUAAUCAACAAUCAUAUAAUUUCUCAAAAUUCAAGUCGGGAGCGUAAAUUUGGUUAAAUAUAUUAGUUAUACUACUAACUUACAAAUACAUUAAGAAGAGAAAAACAUAAAGCAUUUUGAAAAUUAUAAUAAAGUGCCUACUUUCCUACAAUAUAUAUCAUUAAUUCACUCACUUCUUUUGUUUCUUGUUAACCUUUCGAGCUUUCUAAAAUCGAUUUCCUGCAUGCGUAUCUUGUGAAUUUGUAGGUGUAGAGGUGGAGGUGUAAACGGUGUAAGGGAAAAUAUAGGAAUAAGAGAAGGCAUGGCUUUAGUAAAGUCAUUAUUCUCUUCAACAUCAGAUGCAUUGUUUUGCUCUCUUGCUUCGAGUACAUUAAUUGCUUCCUCAAUAUUCAGAGUUUACAUCCCAUUCCUAAACUGAUUUUCGUAAUCUCCUGUUUGUCUUGCAAGUAGGCUGAUUUUAGUGAACGUGUACUAGUUUUUCAUCCUCAUCGACAAGCAUUUUGUUCUUUCUAUUCUAUGAAUGUAGCUAUAAGUGCUCAAACACCUUUCCGCAUAAGAUGUGUUCACACUUUGAGACAACACUCGCAUUACCAACUUAUAAAGUUCUGGUGGUCCUCCACCGUAUAGACCUCACCAUUGUGUUGCAUCCUUGCUCUAUCCUCUAUAGUUUGUGGGCGUGCGGAAACGCUUUUGUCAUUCACAAAAAUGUUGAUUUGGUGUCUUAUAAUCGCAGCUUCAUCCCGUAUUGGAAUCAUCUUGUUUAUUGCAGCUAAAUACCCGUCUUGAACUUCUUUGUCAAAAUUCGGCUUUUUCUUACCAACACCACCAAGAACUGAUUUCAUUAGCCAAGAGUUUGUGUAAAUUUCGGGACAAAUAUAUCAUAAAUCACAAAAUUGUCUACAAGAGUAUUUUGUAACAGUUUGUCAACAUUACUCCAAAAUUGUCAUACAUCAUAAUUGUAGUAAUUUCUGCACGGUCUUAUGUAUUAAUUGUAGUAUUUUCUUGAUCUCUUUCCAUGCAGUCAUUUCUACAUCUUCCUAUAACAUAUCUCAUUUAUUCAUUUCUACAAUCAGAUGGAUGAAAAGAGAUCAAACCUAUAAGUCAUUAGAAAUUAUCAUGAAUGGUAACUUUUUUAGAGUAAUGGAGAGAAGGUGUUGCAAAUGGAGAGAAGGUGUUGCAAAUAACGAAGCCGAUUUAUUAGAUGCUUAGAUUUUCAUAUUUCAACAAAACUGUUAUUGUAAAAGCAUAUGAACAGAUGGAUACAAUGAUAGGCAUGUUAUAAGUCGAUUUAUUAGAUGCUUAGAUUUUCAUAUUUCAACAAAACUGUUAUUGUAAAAGCAUAUGAACAGAUGGAUACAAUGAUAGGCAUGUUAUAAGUUACUCUUGCAGAUGAUUUUGUCAAUUAUGAUAUAAUUCACCAGAUUGUGGUCCAACGAUGAAACAAAAUGAAUAUCCCGUUGCAUUGUUCGGCUUAUAUACUUUCCUUUAAGUAUUAUAUAAACUCUUGGAUGGUGAAACCAGCUCUAGAUGGUGUUAGUAAGAAGAUGCCAAAAUUUUGGCAAAGAGGUUUAAGAUGAGUAUUUAGCUGUAAUGGACAGUAUUUUCCAGUGCAGGAUGAAGCUGCGAUUAUAAAAUACCGAAUCUGUGAUUUUGUGAGUAAUGAAGUGUUUUCACACGCCCACAAGCUGUAGAAGAUAGAGCAAAGAUGAGCACAACACAAUGGUAGGGCCUAUAUGGUGUAAGAGCACCAAAACUUUAUUAUUUAGCCGUGCGAGUGAGUGAAUACAUCUUAUGCGGACAGGUGUUGGAGCACUUAUAGGUACAUUCAUAGUAUAAAGAGAAACAAAUUGGGUGUCGAUAGUGUAUGCUCAUCAUAAUCAACUUCUCCUUGUUAGACUGAGAGGAGCUUACUGAACUCGGUAUAUGAAUUAGAAUGUAAACUCUGAAGUAGACACAUUAAAGAAGCUAUUGAAGUAAUCAAAGCAGCAUUGCGAAACAAUAUACUCCACCCCAAGUUCACAAGAACAUGAUAUGGAAGCACAAUGUCAGAUUCAGAAUGCUCGAAACAAAAAUAAGAGACAAAAGAAGUGAAUGAAUGAGAUAUAUUACUGCACUUUAUUAAAAUUUUCUAAGUAUCUAACGUUUUUCUCUUAUUUUUUCUUGAUUAAUUUUGGAAAAUUAUUAAUAUAACUAAAUAUGCUAUAAAAAAUAAUUUACGCUCUCUAUACGUCCCUCAUUUAAUUUUUAAGACAUUUUACAAUUCUCGAUUUCGUUCCCUACCCCUCUCCUGGCUACUAAGGUUAUAUGUUUUUGUCUUCUUUCUUGAUUAUGGAUUUGGAAAAUUAAUAGAAUAAUUAUUAUACCUAUAACAUCUAAUUUACGCUUCCACCAACAUGCUCAAAUUUGACUCUUCAGAAGUUUUAUGAUUCUUGAUUGUGUUCCCAGCCCGCUCCCGCUACUGGUAACUAAGCUCUAGCCUUAAAUGAGAUUUUUGAGAAGAGCUCAACCAGGAUCAAGAACUCUGAUACAUGUUUUUGUCACCAAAGCCAAAUAGGUGAACUCUUGAAAUUGCUGUGCAGAGCAUAUGUACUCUGAUAUGGCCUUUGUCGCAGAGUGAGGUCUCCAGGCUUCCAGAUCAUCAAACUGCAACCAUCCCAGAAAAGCUUUGCAAUAGAGAGAGAGUACUAAACGAUUCCACAAGAAGGAAAUCAGAUACCUGUUGGUGUUCCAGACUGUGAGGCCACCAAGCAUGAAGCUGAGUACCACAUACAAGCCAGCCAGAUAACCUGUUUAAAGUCAGAUGUUCAGCUUAAUUGCAAAUGAAGAUGGAAGUUGAGUUGAACCUAAUUAAAGGUCUACUUGGCUCAGACUAUUUGACAAACAGAAAAAUUGCUUGGUCCAGAGUCUCCAGCUGCAAGCGUGACGCGUUAUUGAAAAGAUCAUCAUGAAAAUAAGUUGACAAUGAGGUCUUAUUAGAUUGUCUACUUCAUAGUUGGAUCUGACAAUAGAUAGAUAAGGUAGUUCAUCUCAUUUAUGUUUCAUGGUGGUGGUGGUGCCUAUUAAAAUAUCUAUUCCCCUAAAGUCUGUCAUGCCGGUCACAUUCAAGCAUUUUUUUAUCCCAGUGUAAGCACCAUCUAGUUGUUGCAUUCGUUUUAAGAAUGAUGUUAGCAAUACCCAAGAUGCUGACUGCGGUUUUUGAGAUCAUUUUUAAUCGUCUCAAGGACAGAACCUACUGCAUCUUUUCUGUAGCAUGUUUUCAGAAUAACAACUAAA